rnacentral:lncRNA from 1 species
UGCAAUGGUACCAGGGACCUGUCCUUGCACACGACAGGGUGACAUGCAAGGGUACCAGGGACCUAUCCUCGCACAUGACAGGGUGACAUGCAAGGGUACCAGGGACCUAUCCUUGCACACGACAGGGUGACAUGCAAUGGUACCAGGGACCUAUCCUUGCACACGACAGGGUGACAUGCAAGGGUACCAGGGACCUAUCCUUGCACAUGACAGGGUGACAUGCAAGGGUACCAGGGACCUAUCCUCGCACAUGACAGGGUGACAUGCAAGGGUACCAGG